GGGACACGUGGUAUCCUGUCUGAAUAUGGGGGGACCAUCCUCCAAGGCUAAAUACUCCUGACUGACCGAUAGUGAACCAGUACCGUGAGGGAAAGGCGAAAAGAACCCCGGCGAGGGGAGUGAAAAAGAACCUGAAACCGUGUACGUACAAGCAGUGGGAGCACAGGUUUACCUGUGUGACUGCGUACCUUUUGUAUAAUGGGUCAGCGACUUAUAUUCUGUAGCAAGGUUAACCGUAUAGGGGAGCCGGAGGGAAACCGAGUCUUAAUUGGGCGUUAAGUUGCAGGGUAUAGACCCGAAACCCGGUGAUCUAGCCAUGGGCAGGUUGAAGGUUGGGUAACACUAACUGGAGGACCGAACCGACUAAUGUUGAAAAAUUAGCGGAUGACCUGUGGCUGGGGGUGAAAGGCCAAUCAAACCGGGAGAUAGCUGGUUCUCCCCGAAAGCUAUUUAGGUAGCGCCUCGUGAAUUCAUCUCCGGGGGUAGAGCACUGUUUCGGCUAGGGGGCCAUCCCGGCUUACCAACCCGAUGCAAACUGCGAAUACCGGAGAAUGUUAUCACGGGAGACACACGGCGGGUGCUAACGUCCGUCGUGAAGAGGGAAACAACCCAGACCGCCAGCUAAGGUCCCAAAGUCAUGGUUAAGUGGGAAACGAUGUGGGAAGGCCCAGACAGCCAGGAUGUUGGCUUAGAAGCAGCCAUCAUUUAAAGAAAGCGUAAUAGCUCACUGGUCGAGUCGGCCUGCGCGGAAGAUGUAACGGGGCUAAACCAUGCACCGAAGCUGCGGCAGCGAACGUAUCA
rnacentral:rRNA from 1 species